rnacentral:lncRNA from 1 species
AUUCACACCUCUAGAAUGGAAGCCAAGUCAGCUCUUCAGAAAAUGACAGACAUGUCCCCCAGUGUCAUGAUGCUGUGUAAGUCUCCCCUGGACCAACAAGCUCCCCUGGAAGUAAAGGCGAAGGAAAAAUGGGAGGGGCAGCAAUACUUAAACUGAGAUGAGCAAGGGAGGCAGCAACAGUCUGGAGAAACCAGCCAUGGUGUUGGAACCAGAAGAUGAUUAGAAAGAAGCCAGGAGAUGAAUGCUUUUCUCCUGAUUGUGCCACACUGAGCCAGGGGAGGAACUAUGGCCAAUGAG